CGCGUAGGCGGCCUGGUAAGUCAGAUGUGAAAGCCCGGGGCUUAACCCCGGAAGUGCAUUUGAUACUGUCAGGCUUGAGUAUGGGAGAGGGAAGUGGAAUUCCUGGUGUAGAGGUGAAACUCGUAGAUAUCAGGAGGAACACCGGUGGCGAAGGCGACUUCCUGGACCAAUACUGACGCUGAGGCGCGAAGGCGUGGGGAGCAAACAGGAUUAGAUACCCUGGUAGUCC
rnacentral:rRNA from 1 species